CGAUCGAGUCAAGGCCUUUCCGGUUCGCGGUCAACUUGCGGACAAAACAGCUUGGUGUGUUUUGCAGAUCAUUGGUUUCCAUGAGGCAAUUGUAAGGCCACAAUGUCAACUGCACAAGGUGAAUUGUUCGUGAUUGGCGUGGAUGUGGGCGGGACCAACACCGAUGCUGUUUGUUUGCAAGGAAGUCAUGUCGUUGCCUCCAGUAAGGUGCCAACUACCGAGAACGUCACCGAUGGAUUGAAGCAGGCGCUGUCCAAUGUUAUUACCGAGUCAAGGCAGAGCUUGGGUAGAGAUGUUCCUGUUAGCCGCAUCAACAUCGGCACCACGCAUUUUGUCAAUGCCGUCAUCCAGAGGAAGGGCCUGACACCGGUUUCGGUCAUGAGGCUUUGUGGCACAUCCUCCCGCCUGAUGGAACCAUUUAUUGACUUCCCAUUGGAUCUCAAGCAGAUUGUGUGUGCCUCGAUUCAUAUGGUGAGUGGUGGGUACCAGUACAACGGGGAAGAGAUCACCCCAUUGGACGAAGACGAGAUCAUUGGCUGCAUCCAAACCAUCCGAGCCAAUGGCAUCAACAAUGUGGUUGUUUGUGGCAUCUUUUCUCCAGUGAAUCCUGCUCAAGAGUUGAAGGUUGCCGAGCUGUUUAGCGCCCACCACCCGUCGGCCAGUGUCACCCUAUCCCACCAGGUGGGCCAACUGAGCCUCCUGGAGCGGGAGAAUGCUUCUGUACUCAACGAGUGUCUCAAGCCCUUGUGUGCCCGGACUGUGGCCACGUUUGCCCACACCCUGGCAGAGCUGGGCCUGAAUUGCCCGUUCUUCCUGACCCAGAAUGACGGCACAGUAAUCAGUUCUGAUCAAGCAUUGAAGUUCCCUGUACACACAUUCUCUUCAGGACCAACUAACAGUAUGCGGGGAGCUGCCAAACUCUCAGGUGUUGGGGACGGCAUCGUUGUGGACAUCGGUGGCACUUCCUCCGACGUCGGCUUCCUACAGGGCGGUUUCCCCAAGGAGGCGUCGACCAAAGUCAAAGUGGGAGGAGUCAACACCAACUUCCAGAUGCCGGACGUUGUCUGCAAGGGGCUCGGAGGGGGGUCCCUCGUAAGAUUCUCUGAGGCAGAUGGACAAAUUACCUCGCUGACUGUCGGGCCGGACAGCGUCGGCUAUCUGCUCAGCAAGGAAGCCAAGAUCUUUGGUGGUCAGACAUUGACCGCCAGCGAUAUCGCAGUGGCGGCCGGAAUGGCCUCGUUUGGCGACCCUGCCAAGGUCGGCGGCUUGCCCAGUGACCUUGUCCAGAAAGCAGUGGACGAGAUACACGAUAUGCUGGAAGAUCUGAUCGACCAGGUCAAGUUGAGUGCUGCUGACGUGCCUGUGGUCAUCGUUGGUGGGGGGAGUAUCUUAGUGGAUGAGAAACGAGGACUGAAAGGAACGUCUAAAGUCAUCAAGCCACCACAUUAUCAGGUAGCGAAUGCAAUUGGGGCAGCCUUGAGCCAAGUCAGCGGUGUGUGGGACACUGUGGUCAGCCUGGACCGAAUGACCAGGGAGGAGGCUGUACAGGAAAUUAAGCAACAGGCCAAGCAGAUUGCCGUUGAGCGUGGUGCUCAGCCAGACAGUGUACAAAUCACAGAGGUGACGAUUGUACCCCUUGCCUACAUCACCAACAAUGCCACGCGCAUCAAGGUCAAAGCUGUGGGGGAUCUGACCGUGAAGGAUCCAACCGUGAGGGCUCAAGCAUCAGCGGGAAUAGCAUCUCAUGAGAUGGUAGAAGAUCACAAGCCUAUCAGUGAUUCCCAUACCGACAAGCCUGAAGCUAGGACUAGCCAAGAAACCACGAACCUGCCAGCCCCACCACCAUCGGAACCCACCCUUGCCUUGCCAGACCACCAGGUGGACCCGGCCACCGGUGAAUGGAUCCUAUCAGAGUUUGACGUGGAGUGUAUCGCCAUAGGGGCUGGUAUCUUAGGCUGCGGGGGAGGGGGAAGCCCCCAUCUAGGUCUGCUCAUCGCCCGUAAAGUACUGCAGGAGGGAAAAAAGAUAAGAGUCAUUGCUCCAGAGAGACUAGGACUUACCCCCGAACUGACCGGACUAGUGGUUCCAAUCGCCUUCAUGGGAGCUCCGGGGGUAUUCAUUGAGAAACUACAGGCUGGUUUUGAGUCCACCCGGGCAAUAGAAUGCAUACAGCAGGUGGCACAGGCUGCAUUUGGAGACAGGAUACCAGACAACAUAGAUGGUGUUCAAGUGAAGAGAGACAACGGUGUGGUUUAUGUUGAUGACUUUCCAAAGGUGGGGAGUGGUUCGACUCCCCCCUCACCCCCGGCAGGCUGUAAGGUGGUUGCCUUAAUGAGUGCUGAAAUAGGGGGCACUAAUGCCAUGGAGCCCUUAGCAACAGCGGCCAUGUUGGAUUUACCCGUCGUUGACUGUGAUGGAAUGGGCCGGGCCUUCCCAGAACUUCAGAUGAUUAUUCAUUCCAUUUAUGGUCAUCCAUUGUGCCCGAGUGGCUUAGUUGACGACAAGGGUCGUAGAGCGGUGACGUUUUCAGCCGAGAGCAACAAGCACUUGGAAAACCACUUCAGGGCCGUUGCAGCUGAUAUGGGAUCUGUGAUUUGUCGAGAGUCAUCACAGGUGGUUUCGCCCGUGGGAAGCUGAUAGUGGAAGGAACAGGGCCAGAGUACAACGGCCAAGAGCUGGAGAUUGAGUUUCAGAACGAGAACCUGGUGGCAAGACGCAUCAGCAAGGACCACAGCGAGGUCGUAGCGACGACCCCUGACCUCAUCAGUAUCGUGGACGCCGACCUGGGUCAUCCGAUCAGCACGGAGGAGCUUCGUUACGGUCUGCGCGUUGCAGUCUUGGUGCUGGCCUCGCCGCCAUUGCUACGCAGCCAGAG
rnacentral:misc_RNA from 1 species